rnacentral:hammerhead_ribozyme from 1 species
GUACUACUGAGGAGUCUCAAAAUAGAACGAAACAACUGUCCAGUGC